rnacentral:rRNA from 1 species
UACGAAGGGAGCUAGCGUUGUUCGGAAUCACUGGGCGUAAAGCGCACGUAGGCGGAUUUGCCAGUCAGGGGUGAAAUCCCGGGGCUCAACCUCGGAACUGCCUUUGAUACAGCAAGUCUUGAGUUCGAGAGAGGUGGGUGGAAUUCCUAGUGUAGAGGUGAAAUUCGUAGAUAUUAGGAAGAACACCGGUGGCGAAGGCGGCCCACUGGCUCGACACUGACGCUGAGGUGCGAAAGCGUGGGGAGCGAACAGG